GACGAACGCUGGCGGCGUGCUUAACACAUGCAAGUCGAGCGGUAAGGCCCUUUCGGGGGUACACGAGCGGCGAACGGGUGAGUAACACGUGGGUGACCUGCCCUCAGCUCUGGGAUAAGCCUGGGAAACCGGGUCUAAUACUGGAUAUGACUCCAUGACGCAUGUUGUGGGGUGGAAAGCCUUGUGCGGCUGAGGAUGGGCCCGCGGCCUAUCAGCUUGUUGGUGGGGUGAGGCCUACCAAGGCGACGACGGGUAGCCGGCCUGAGAGGGCGACCGGCCACACUGGGACUGAGACACGGCCCAGACUCCUACGGGAGGCAGCAGUGGGGAAUCUUGCGCAAUGGGCGAAAGCCUGACGCAGCGACGCCGCGUGAGGGAUGACGGCCUGG
rnacentral:rRNA from 1 species